rnacentral:rRNA from 1 species
GAUGAACGCUGGCGGCGUGCUUAACACAUGCAAGUCGAACGGAAAGGCUCCUGCUUGCAGGGGUACUCGAGUGGCGAACGGGUGAGUAACACGUGGGUGAUCUGCCCUGCACUUCGGGAUAAGCCUGGGAAACUGGGUCUAAUACCGGAUAGGACCACAUUUUGGAUGGUGUGGUGGAAAGUUUUUCGGUGUGGGAUGAGCUCGCGGCCUAUCAGCUUGUUGGUGGGGUAAUGGCCUACCAAGGCGUCGACGGGUAGCCGGCCUGAGAGGGUGUACGGCCAAAAUGGGACUGGGAUGCGGCCCAGACUCCUACGGGAGGCAGGAGUGGGGAAUAUUGCACAAUGGGCGCAAGCCUGAUGCAGCGACGCCGCGUGGGGGAUGACGGCCUUCGGGUUGUAAACUCCUUUCGCUAGGGACGAAGCGCAAGUGACGGUACCUGGAGAAGAAGCACCGGCUAACUACGUG